GACGAACGCUGGCGGCGUGCUUAACACAUGCAAGUCGAACGGUAAGGCCCCUUCGGGGGUACACGAGUGGCGAACGGGUGAGUAACACGUGAGCAACCUGCCCUUGACUUUGGGAUACCUGCUGGAAACAGCUGCUAAUACCGGAUAUGACCUCUUCUCUCAUGGGUUGAGGUGGAAAGCUCCGGCGGUCAGGGAUGGGCUCGCGGCCUAUCAGCUUGUUGGUGAGGUAAUGGCUCACCAAGGCUUCGACGGGUAGCCGGCCUGAGAGGGCGACCGGCCACACUGGGACUGAGAUACGGCCCAGACUCCUACGGGAGGCAGCAGUGGGGAAUAUUGCACAAUGGGCGCAAGCCUGAUGCAGCAACGCCGCGUGCGGGAUGACGGCCUUCGGGUUGUAAACCGCUUUCAGUAGGGACGAAGCUAACGUGACGGUACCUACAGAAGAAGGACCGGCUAACUACGUG
rnacentral:rRNA from 1 species